AGCAUAUCAAUAAGCGGAGGAAAAGAAACCAACAGGGAUUGCCUCAGUAACGGCGAGUGAAGCGGCAAAAGCUCAAAUUUGAAAUCUGGCUCUUUCAGGGUCCGAGUUGUAAUUUGUAGAAGAUGCUUCGGGUGUGGUCCCGGUCUAAGUUCCUUGGAACAGGACGUCAUAGAGGGUGAGAAUCCCGUAUGUGACUGGGUACCUACGCUCAUGUGAAGCUCUUUCGACGAGUCGAGUUGUUUGGGAAUGCAGCUCAAAAUGGGUGGUAAAUUUCAUCUAAAGCUAAAUAUUGGCCAGAGACCGAUAGCGCACAAGUAGAGUGAUCGAAAGAUGAAAAGCACUUUGGAAAGAGAGUUAAACAGUACGUGAAAUUGUUGAAAGGGAAGCGCUUGCAAUCAGACUUGCGCCUAGUUGAUCAUCCGGGCUUCUGCCCGGUGCACUCGAUUAGGCUCAGGCCAGCAUCGGUUUGGGUGGUUGGAUAAAGGCUUGGGGAACGUAGCCUCCUUCGGGGGGUGUUAUAGCCCCAGGUGCAAUGCAGCCUACCUGGACCGAGGACCGCGCUUCGGCUAGGAUGCUGGCGUAAUGGUUGUAAGCGACCCGU
rnacentral:rRNA from 1 species